AGAGUUUGAUCCUGGCUCAGAUUGAACGCUGGCGGCAUGCCUUACACAUGCAAGUCGAACGGUAGCGGGCCUUCGGGUGCCGACGAGUGGCGAACGGGUGAGUAAUGUAUCGGAACGUACCUUUCAGUGGGGGAUAACGUAGCGAAAGUUACGCUAAUACCGCAUAUUCUGUGAGCAGGAAAGCAGGGGAUCGCAAGACCUUGCGCUGAUUGAGCGGCCGAUAUCAGAUUAGCUAGUUGGUGAGGUAAAGGCUCACCAAGGCGACGAUCUGUAGCGGGUCUGAGAGGAUGAUCCGCCACACUGGAACUGAGACACGGUCCAGACUCCUACGGGAGGCAGCAGUGGGGAAUUUUGGACAAUGGGGGCAACCCUGAUCCAGCCAUGCCGCGUGAGUGAAGAAGGCCUUCGGGUUGUAAAGCUC
rnacentral:rRNA from 1 species